rnacentral:misc_RNA from 1 species
GUGAAUCAUCAAAUCUUUGAACGCAAAUUGCACUCUCUCCGAAGAGUAUGACUGUUUGAGGGUCAGCCUGAGAAAAAUCGACGUAGUCGCUGUUUCGCGAUGACUUUCGUCGGAAAUGGGGGCAUCUUAAACAUUUGGGUUUUUUAAACGGCUUAAAAUUUUCUUUACUAUUCCACUAACGAUUCUAAGAUUUUUCUUCUUACACUCUUUUAU